UUAAUCGGAAUUACUGGGCGUAAAGCGCACGCAGGCGGUUUGUUAGGUCAGAUGUGAAAUCCCCGGGCUCAACCUGGGAACUGCAUCUGAUACUGGCAAGCUUGAGUCUCGUAGAGGGGGGUAGAAUUCCAGGUGUAGCGGUGAAAUGCGUAGAGAUCUGGAGGAAUACCGGUGGCGAAGGCGGCCCCCUGGACGAAGACUGACGCUCAGGUGCGAAAGCGUGGGGAGCAAACAGGAUUAGAUACCCUGGUAGUCCACGCCGUAAACGAUGUCGACUUGGAGGUUGUGCCCUUGAGGCGUGGCUUCCGGAGCUAACGCGUUAAGUCGACCGCCUGGGGAGUACGGCCGCAAGGUUAAAACUCAAAUGAAUUGACGGGGGCCCGCACAAGCGGUGGAGCAUGUGGUUUAAUUCGAUGCAACGCGAAGAACCUUACCUGGUCUUGACAUCCACGGAAGUUUUCAGAGAUGAGAAUGUGCCUUCGGGAACCGUGAGACAGGUGCUGCAUGGCUGUCGUCAGCUCGUGUUGUGAAAUGUUGGGUUAAGUCCCGCAACGAGCGCAACCCUUAUCCUUUGUUGCCAGCGGU
rnacentral:rRNA from 1 species